UCCGUUUUGACACCGGCAGUCUCGCUAGAGUCCCCAGCAUGACCUGUUGGCAACUAACGAUAGGGGUUUCGCUCGUUAGGGGACUUAACCCAACACCUCACGACACGAGCUGACGACAGCCAUGCACCACCUGUGCAGGGACUCCGAAGAGGGGCCCCGGUUUCUCGAGGCUUUCCCCUGCAUGUCAAGCCCAGGUAAGGUUCUUCGCGUUGCGUCGAAUUAAACCACAUGCUCCACCGCUUGUGCGGGCCCCCGUCAAUUCCUUUGAGUUUUAAUCUUGCGACCGUACUCCCCAGGCGGUCUACUUCACGCGUUAGCUGCGUUACCAAGUUAAUUAAAACCCGACAACUAGUAGACAUCGUUUAGGGCGUGGACUAC
rnacentral:misc_RNA from 1 species